rnacentral:rRNA from 1 species
UUCUAGAUCCCAGGCUGGUUAAAAAGGUAAAAUAUUAGCU